rnacentral:rRNA from 1 species
AAAGGGGACUUCGGUCUCUGAGUACAGUGGCGCACGGGUGCGUAACACGUAAGUAAUCUGCCCCGAACUCCAGGAUAACCCUCCGAAAGGAGGGCUAAUACUAGAUAGGGUCCCCGAGGUGUAGGCUGCGGGGGGAAAACGGGCCUCUGUUUCAUGCUCGUGGUUCGGGAUGAGCUUGCGGCCCAUUAGCUUGUUGGUAGGGUAAUGGCUUACCAAGGCUACGAUGGGUAGCUGGUCUGAGAGGAUGAUCAGCCACACUGGCACUGAGACACGGGCCAGACUCCUACGGGAGGCAGCAGUGGGGAAUUUUGCGCAAUGGGCGAAAGCCUGACGCAGUAACGCCGCGUGGAGGAUGAAGGCCUUCGGGUUGUAAACUCCUGUCAGGGGGAACGACGGGGAAAGGGUGACAAAUCCUUUCCUCCAGACGGUACCUCCAAAGGAAGCCCCGGCUAAUUCCGUGCCAGCAGCCGCGGUAAUACGGAAGGGGCAAGCGUUGUUCGGAAUCAUUGGGCGUAAAGGGCGCGUAGGUGGUUCUGUAUGUCUACCGUGAAAGCAUACAGCUCAACUGUAUUUUGUCGGUAGAAACUGCAGGACUUGAGGCUGGGAGGGGCUGGUGGAAUUCCCUGUGUAGCGGUGAAAUGCGUAGAGAUGGGGGAGAACACUCGUGGCGAAGGCGGCCAGCUAGACCAGUUCUGACACUGAGGCGCGACAGCGUGGGGAGCAAACAGGAUUAGAUACCCUGGUAGUCCACGCUGUAAACGAUGGGCACUAGGUGCCGGCGGUCUUGAUCCCGUCGGUGCCGGCGCUAACGCAGUAAGUGCCCCGCCUGGGGAGUACGGUCGCAAGGCUG